rnacentral:rRNA from 1 species
GAUGAACGCUGGCGGCGUGCCUAAUACAUGCAAGUCGAACGCAUAGCGAAAGGUGCUUGCACCUUUCAAGUGAGUGGCGAACGGGUGAGUAACACGUGGACAACCUGCCUCAAGGCUGGGGAUAACAUUUGGAAACAGAUGCUAAUACCGAAUAAAACUUAGUGUCGCAUGACACAAAGUUAAAAGGCGCUUCGGCGUCACCUAGAGAUGGAUCCGCGGUGCAUUAGUUAGUUGGUGGGGUAAAGGCCCACCAAGACAAUGAUGCAUAGCCGAGUUGAGAGACUGAUCGGCCACAUUGGGACUGAGACACGGCCCAAACUCCUACGGGAGGCUGCAGUAGGGAAUCUUCCACAAUGGGCGAAAGCCUGAUGGAGCAACGCCGCGUGUGUGAUGAAGGCUUUCGGGUCGUAAAGCACUGUUGUAUGGGAAGAACAGCUAGAAUAGGAAAUGAUUUUAGUUUGACGGUACCAUACCAGAAAGGGACGGCUAAAUACGUG